AACGAACGCUGGCGGCAUGCCUAACACAUGCAAGUCGAACGAAGGCUUCGGCCUUAUUGUCGCACGGGUUCGUAACGCGUGGGAAUCUGCCCUUUGGUUCGGAAUAACAGCUUGAAACGGCUUCUAAUACCGGAUGAUGACGAAAGUCCAAAGAUUUAUUGCGCGAGUAUGAGCCCGCGUUGGAUUAGGUAGUUGGUUUGGUAAAGGCCUCCCAAGCCGCCGAUACAUAGCUGGUCAUAGAGAAUGGUCAGCCACACUGAUGCUGAGACACGGCCCAGACUCUUACGGGAGGCAGGAGUGCGGGAUAUAGGAAAACGGGCGCAAGGAUGAAGGAGCACGGCCGGGAGAGUGAUGAAGUCCGUAGGGUUGUAAAGCUCUUUUACCCGGGAAGAUAAUGACGGUACCGAGAGAAUAAGCCCCGGCUAACUCCGUG
rnacentral:rRNA from 1 species